GACGAACCGUGCGAACGUUGUUCGGAAUCACUGGGCUUAAAGGGUGCGUAGGCGGGCUCGUCAGUCGGGGGUGAAAUCCCACGGCCCAACCGUGGAAGUGCCUCCGAUACUGCGGGCCUGGAGGGGGAUAGGGGCGCGCGGAACUUCCGGUGGAGCGGUGAAAUGCGUAGAUAUCGGAAGGAACACCGGUGGCGAAAGCGGCGCGCUGGAUCCCUACUGACGCUGAGGCACGAAAGCCAGGGGAGCAAACGGG
rnacentral:rRNA from 1 species